rnacentral:rRNA from 1 species
ACUCCUACGGGAGGCAGCAGUAGGGAAUCUUCCACAAUGGACGAAAGUACUGAUGGAGCAACGCCGCGUGAGUGAAGAAGGGUUUCGGUCUCGUAAAACUACUGUUGUUAAAGAAAGAACAUAUCUGAGAGUAACUGUUCAGGUAUUGACGGUAUUUAACCAGAAAGCCACGGCUAACUACGUGCCAGCAGCCGCGGUAAUACGUAGGUGGCAAGCGUUGUCCGGAUUUAUUGGGCGUAAAGCGAGCGCAGGCGGUUUUUAAGUCUGAUGUGAAAGCCUUCGGCUCAACCGAAGAAGUGCAUCGGAAACUGGGAAACUUGAGUGCAGAAGAGGACAGUGGAACUCCAUGUGUAGCGGUGAAAUGCGUAGAUAUAUGGAAGAACACCAGUGGCGAAGGCGGCUGUCUGGUCUGUAACUGACGCUGAGGCUCGAAAGUAUGGGUAGCAAACAGGAUUAGAUACCCUGGUAGGAUAGCGUAGUCGUAGGAAC